UACGGAGGGUGCAAGCGUUAUCCGGAUUCACUGGGUUUAAAGGGUGCGUAGGUGGGAAUGUAAGUCAGUGGUGAAAUCUCCGUGCUUAACAUGGAAACUGCCAUUGAUACUAUGUUUCUUGAAUUUUCUGGAGGUCAGCGGAAUAUGUCAUGUAGCGGUGAAAAUGCUUAGAUAUGACAUAGAAACACCAAUUUGCGAAAGGCAGCUGACUACAGGGAUAUUGACACUGAGGGCACGAAAAGCGUGGGGGAUCAAAACAGGG
rnacentral:rRNA from 1 species